rnacentral:rRNA from 1 species
UACGUAGGGCGCAAGCGUUGUCCGGAAUUAUUGGGCGUAAAGAGCUCGUAGGCGGCUUGUCACGUCGUUGUGAAAGCCCGGGGCUUAACCCCGGGUCUGCAGUCGAUACGGGCAGGCUAGAGUGUGGUAGGGGAGAUCGAAUUCCUGGUGUAGCGGUGAAAUGCGCAGAUAUCAGGAGGAACACCGGUGGCGAAGGCGGAUCUCUGGGCCAUUACUGACGCUGAGGAGCGAAAGCGUGGGGAGCGAACAGG